AUGGAGUUAAGCAUGUCCAUGCAUUUAUUCACACUCCCACUGGAACACACUUCUGUGAAGUUGAACAGCUGAGAAGUGGACCCCCAGUCAUUCAUUCUGGAAUCAAAGACCUCAAGGUCUUGAAAACAACAUAGUCUCGAUGUGACGGUUUCAUCAAGGACCAGUUCACUACCCUCCCUGAGGUGAAGGACCGAUGCUUUGCCACCCAAGUGUACUGCAAGUGGCGCUACCACCAGUGCAGGGAUGUGGACUUCGAGGCUACCUGGGACACCAUUUGGGACCUUGUCCUGGAGAAAUCUGCUGGGCCCUAUGACAAAGGCGAAUACUUGCCCUCUGUGCAGAAGACCCUCUAUGAUAUCCAGGUGCUCUCCCUGUGCCGAGUUCCUGAGAUAGAAGAUAUGGAAAUCAGCCUGCCAAACAUUCACUACUUCAACAUAGACAUGUCCAAAAUGGGUCUGAUCAACAAGGAAGAGAAAAUUGACUCAUCUCUCAACUCUUGCCAGAAUAAUAAGGCAUUACCAUGCUUGAAGUAACUUUAGUGGAGGACAUACACAUUUUCCUGUUUAGUCUUGCUGCCAUUAGACAAUCCAUAUGGAGAAAUUACUGGUACAGUCAAGAGGAAGUUGUCUUCAAGACUGUGACAUUGUGGCCACCAAUAGGAGUCCACUCUCAGCUGAGGAAUUCCUUAAGUCAUCUGUGAUGUUGGAGAUGAUAGCAUGUAGCCAUGCAAAAUUUCACACUAGUAUAUUGAUUUGUAGUGUUCACUUUCCUCCAAUAUGAAACAAUUUAUUUCUUCUACACCUAGCUCAGCAAGGCAUUCUGUGGAUUACCUUAUUAGUAAUUAUAACAGGCUUUAUGGCUAUAGUUUACUUUAAAAAUGCUGAGCAGUAUUAGAACAGUUAUAAAUCAAUAUUUCUUUUUGGUUGUCUUAUGCCUUCCUAUCUUAGAGAAGCUUUAGAAUCCAUUCAUUAAGAAAAUAAUCAUGAAUUAAUGAGUGUGUGACAUCAAUUAAUUUGUGCACAGGUUUAAGAAACAAAUAUUAUUUUCAUCCUACUGAUGCUUCUAAGUAAUGCAGAAAAUGAAAUAAAAUUAUAUUGAAAAAUAUCAACAUUGUUACUUCAUUUGACUGAAUAUUUGAUUUUAAGAAUGCUCUAGCAUAUGUAUCAUUGAUUAUUAAUUUCCACUCUGAUAGUACUUCUGUGAUCUUUAUAUUUGAUUUUAAACUUUUUCAAUCCUUAGAGAAUAUUUAGUACAUAUGAGGGUACUGAAAAAGAGUAUAAAUUGUUUUUCUUUGAAUAAUUCAUCCCUUAUGUGCACAAAACAUCACGUUUAAUAAAUGUUAAGCCAAUAUACAGAUGGGUGGAUGUACAUUUAGAAAGAAGACUAGAGAGUAUAUAUGUGAAAAUAUCAGCAAUGACAAUUUCUGGAUGAUGAGAUUAUGAGUGAUUUUUAUUUUUCACCAUGUACUUUUCUGAAUCUUCCAAAUAUGAACAAUUAUUCCUUUUAUAGCCAGAGAAACAAAUAUAGUUGAUGAUUUAAAGAUGUGUACAGAUUUGAGGGCUGAUUAUAUCAAUUGACUAACACUACCAUUGUAUACAUGUAAUAAAGCUUCACAAAUUACAAUUUUAGAAACCCAUGAUGAAAACCUGUCCACGUUAACAUUCUGGGUAACCUUUU
rnacentral:sRNA from 1 species